AUUGAACGCUGGCGGCAUGCUCUACACAUGCAAGUCGAACGGCAGCACGGGGGCAACCCUGGUGGCGAGUGGCGAACGGGUGAGUAACACAUCGGAACGUACCCAGUAGUGGGGGAUAACGCAGCGAAAGUUGCGCUAAUACCGCAUACGCUGGAGACAGGAAAGCGGGGGACCCUGUGAGGGGCCUCGUGCUAGUGGAGCGGCCGAUGUCCGAUUAGCUAGUUGGUGGGGUAACGGCCUACCAAGGCGACGAUCCGUAGCUGAUCUGAGAGGAUGAUCAGCCACACUGGGACUGAGACACGGCCCAGACUCCUACGGGAGGCAGCAGUGGGGAAUCUUGGACAAUGGGCGCAAGCCUGAUCCAGCCAUGCCGCGUGAGUGAAGAAGGCCUUCGGGUUGUAAAGCUCUUUUGCCAGGGACGAUAAUGACGGUACCUGGAGAAUAAGCCCCGGCAAACUUCGUGCCAGCAGCCGCAGUAAGAC
rnacentral:rRNA from 1 species